GACGAACGCUGGCGGCGCGCUUAAUACAUGCAAGUCGAACGGGAACCUCGGGCUUCGGCCUGGGGGGAGAGUGGCGAACGGGUGAGUAACACGUGAGGAACCUGCCCCGGAGACCGGGAUAACCCAGGGAAACUUGGGCUAAUACCGGAUGCCCUCGUCGGACCGCAUGAUCUGACGAGGAAAUGGAUUCCGCUCCGGGAUGGCCUCGCGGCCUAUCAGCUUGUUGGUGAGGUAACGGCUCACCAAGGCGACGACGGGUAGCUGGUCUGAGAGGACGACCAGCCACACUGGGACUGGGAAACGGCCCAGACUCCUACGGGAGGUAGCAGUAGGGAAUUUUGGGCAAUGGGCGAAAGCCUGACCCAGCAACGCCGCGUGAGGGAUGAAGGCCCUCGGGUCGUAAACCUCUGUCGGGAGGGAAGAAUGGUUGCCGUUCGAACAGGUCGGUAGCCUGACGGUACCUCCAAAGGAAGCACCGGCUAACUC
rnacentral:rRNA from 1 species